UCUACGGGAGGCAGCAGUGGGGAAUAUUGCACAAUGGGGGAAACCCUGAUGCAGCAACGCCGCGUGGGUGAAGGAGCGUUUCGGCGCGUAAAGCCCUGUCAGCGGGGAAGAAGAAAGACGGUACCCGACCAAGAAGCCCCGGCUAACUACGUGCCAGCAGCCGCGGUAAUACGUAGGGGGCGAGCGUUAUCCGGAAUUACUGGGUGUAAAGGGAGCGUAGACGGCGAGGUAAGCCUGAAGUGGAAGCCCGCGGCCCAACCGCGGAACUGCUUUGGGAACUGUUGAUCUUGAGUACUGGAGAGGCAGACGGAAUUCCUAGUGUAGCGGUGAAAUGCGUAGAUAUUAGGAGGAACACCAGUGGCGAAGGCGGUCUGCUGGACAGCAACUGACGGUGAGGCGCGAAAGCGUGGGGAGCAAACAGGAUUAGAUACCCUAGUAGUC
rnacentral:rRNA from 1 species